CGCAGCGAAAGCGAGUUCGAAAUGAGCGUCCAGUCGCAGGGUGUAGACCCGAAACCAGAUGAGCUAUCCAUGGCCAGGUUGAAGGUGUGGUAACACACACUGGAGGACCGAACCGACUAGUGUUGCAAAAUUAGCGGAUGAGCUGUGGAUAGGGGUGAAAGGCCAAACAAAUCUGGAGAUAGCUGGUUCUCCCCGAAAACUAUUGAGGUAGUGCCUCGUGUGUCGCUCCAGGGGGUAGAGCACUGUUUUGGCUAGGGGGAUAUGGAGUCUUACCAAACCAAGGCAAACUCCGAAUACCUGGAAGCGUGAGCACGGGAGACAGAGCACCGGGUGCUAACGUCCGGACUCAAAAGGGAAACAACCCAGACCGCCGGCUAAGGUCCCCAAUAACAGCUAAGUGGAAAACGAAGUGGAAAGGCCGUGACAACCAGGAAGUUGGCUUAGAAGCAGCCAUCCUUCAAAGAAAGCGUAAUAGCUCACUGGUCGAGUCCUUCUGCGCGGAAGAUGUAACGGGGCUAAGCUGUUAACCGAAGCCGCGGAUGCACUGAUUAUUCAGUGCGUGGUAGGGGAGCGUUCUGUAAGUCUGCGAAGGCGGUUCGAGAGGACUGCUGGAGAUAUCAGAAGUGCGAAUGCUGACAUGAGUAACGUUAAAGCAGGUGAAAAGCCUGCUCGCCGUAAGCCCAAGGAUUCCUGCUCUACGUUCAUCGGAGCAGGGUGAGUCGGCUCCUAAGGUCAGGCCGAAAGGCGUAGCCGAUGGGAAUCAGGUUAAUAUUCCUGAACCUGCGUCAGAUGCGAUGGGGGGACGGAGCAUGAAAGAUCAUCCGGGUGUUGGAUGUCCCGGUUGACGAGCGUAGGAGGUCUGCAGGCAAAUCCGCAGACGCAUCUCCAAGGCGAAGUCACGUGCCGCCACGGCGGCGAAGUGAUCGGAAGUGCUUCCAAGAAAAGCCUCUAAGCACCAGUCUGACGCGGACCGUACCGCAAACCGACACUGGUGGGCGAGCUGAAUAUGCUCAGGCGCUUGAGAGAACUCGGGAGAAGGAACUCGGCAAAUUGACACCGUAACUUCGGAAGAAGGUGUGCCGUAGUACCGUGAGAGGAGAGACACCUUGAGCGGGAAUCGGUCUCAGAGAAUAGGUGGCUGCGACUGUUUAUUAAAAACACAGCACUCUGCAAAGUCGAAAGACGACGUAUAGGGUGUGAUGCCUGCCCGGUGCUGGAAGAUUAAUUGAUGGGGUGAGAGCCCUUGAUCGAAGUCCCAGUAAACGGCGGCCGUAACUAUAACGGUCCUAAGGUAGCGAAAUUCCUUGUCGGGUAAGUUCCGACCUGCACGAAUGGCAUAACGAUGGCCACACUGUCUCCUCCCGAGACUCAGUGAAGUUGAAAUGUUUGUGAUGAUGCAAUCUACCCGCGGCUAGACGGAAAGACCCCAUGAACCUUUACUGCAGCUUUGCAUUGAACUGUGAACCGAUUUGUGUAGGAUAGGUGGGAGGCAGAGAAGAGGCCACGCCAGUGGUCUUGGAGCCGGCCUUGAAAUACCACCCUGAUUUGUUUGCGGUUCUAACCACGGACAGUGAUCCUGUCUUGGGACCGUGCAUGGUAGGCAGUUUGACUGGGGCGGUCUCCUCCUAAAGGGUAACGGAGGAGUACGAAGGUACGCUAGGUACGGUCGGAAAUCGUGCUGAUAGUGCAAUGGCAAAAGCGUGCUUGACUGCGAGAGCAACAACUCGAGCAGAUGCGAAAGCAG
rnacentral:rRNA from 1 species